CGAUAAAAUAAUUAGAAGGAAACAAGAGAAACCUCAAUGCUCUAUAAAAAGUCUCCAAAAACUAUCGGCGGAAAAUAAUAUUAAAGGUGUUAGUUAUCCGUGUUCAAAGAAAAGGUGUUAGUUAUCUAUACUAUUAAAAAAGAAUCAUUCUGAAAAAAUCUAUUUAAACAAAGUUGUUGCACCUAUUCAUUACCUAUUUAUUAUUAGGGAAAAUUGUUUUUUUAGAACAAAAAAAUGGUAACUAUGUCCCUUUAUACUAAUCUAUACUACUUUAUGUCCCAUUAGACUAAUUUUUUUCAAAAUGGCAGUAAUGCCCUUAAAAUUGUAAUUUUUUAUUUCUUUUUUAAUUUUUUUAUUUUUUUGUUCCUUUUUCGUUUUUUUAUUUUUUCAAAAAAAAAUCGAUUUUUUUUUCAAAAUAUAAAAGUGAAUAUUCUCAAAUAUUUUGUUUCCAUAUUUUUAGGAACUGAUUUCUUAUCCGUAGAAUACAACUAAUAUGUAGAAAUCGGUUUCUACAGUUUUUUAGAAUUAUAGUAAUGUUUAGAGUUUGAUUUCUACAUGUUUUAGAUUUAUAGUAAAUCUGUAGAAGUCGGUUUCUACGUGUUUUAGAUUUAUAUUAUGUGUAGAUUUUGAUUUCUAAAGAUUUUAGAACGAUAGGUUAAGCGCGGAAUGUGUAUUCUAAAUAUUUUUAGAAUACUCCUAUUUACGUAGAUCACGUAUUCUAAACAUUGUAGAUUCAAUGAAAAAGUGGAUUUCGUUUUCUACUUCGUAGAAUGUCAUUUCUACUUUAUUUAGAACAUAAUAUGAAAUUUAUAAUUUUAACUUUUUUAUAAUUAGAAAAAAUAUCACUAAGUUCAUAUAGGUAUUUUAUCAAAACUUACAAUUUUUCCAAAAUUUUUUUGUUUGUAAAACUAUUUAUUAAAUUUAUUUUCAAAAAUAUUAAAGGGUAUUAUAGGAAAAUAUGACACAAAAUAUAGAUUAGUCUAAAGAGACAUAGUUACCAUUUUUUUGCUCUAAAAAAACAGUUUUCCCUUAUUAUUUUUGGUCAUGUCCUUAUUUUUCUCUAACUAUACAAUAUUUUUAAUGAAAUCAUUUAUUGCUUCUCAGUUUUAAGAAACUGAAUAUAAAAUGAUAUUUAUGAAUAUAAAAUAGACUCUAUGAAUUCAGUAAUGGAUCUUUUUUUAUUUUAUCAAAUUAACUUUUCGUAGAAUUUUUU
rnacentral:lncRNA from 1 species